rnacentral:ncRNA from 1 species
UAAAAUGCGUUGAGCAGGAAGAGUAAUUUUUCAAAACCGUACAGAGAGUGGCCGUCUGGUGCAAGGCCUCCGGAAAGGGAAAUGAAAAUCACCUGGGAGCAUGCAGGCCGAAAAUGAAGUAAGCCAGCACGGGAAUCCUCCGUUACAGGACAGGGCAUGAUGGUGCCUUUUGAAAUUAGGUGGUAUAGCGAGACCUCGCCCUAUUU